GACUGUGGGUGAGUGUAGGUGUACAUGUGCAAGUUUAAGAGAGAGAAAGAGAGUGAGAGAGAGUGUAACUGAUGGGAACCUGGAAAUGUUAAAGACAUGCAUUGCAGGAAUAGACGGAGACGGAAAAGAAGGUUCCAGAAAAACAGGGGUUCCUGGGAUGAAGAAGAACUUAAGUCGGAAAAAAGCCCAGCAAAGAUGAUAGGAAAAAGAAAAUGUAGAGCACAAUAGAUGGGUUA